UCUCCAACCAAUUUUCGGUACC
rnacentral:miRNA from 1 species